AUGAACGCUAGCUACAGGCUUAACACAUGCAAGUCGAGGGGCAGCAUGGUCUUAGCUUGCUAAGGCCGAUGGCGACCGGCGCACGGGUGAGUAACACGUAUCCAACCUGCCGUCUACUCUUGGACAGCCUUCUGAAAGGAAGAUUAAUACAAGAUGGCAUCAUGAGUCCGCAUGUUCACAUGAUUAAAGGUAUUCCGGUAGACGAUGGGGAUGCGUUCCAUUAGAUAGUAGGCGGGGUAACGGCCCACCUAGUCUUCGAUGGAUAGGGGUUCUGAGAGGAAGGUCCCCCACAUUGGAACUGAGACACGGUCCAAACUCCUACGGGAGGCAGCAGUGAGGAAUAUUGGUCAAUGGGCGAGAGCCUGAACCAGCCAAGUAGCGUGAAGGAUGACUGCCCUAUGGGUUGUAAACUUCUUUUAUAAAGGAAUAAAGUCGGGUAUGCAUACCCGUUUGCAUGUACUUUAUGAAUAAGGAUCGGCUAACUCCGUGCCAGCAGCCGCGGUAAUACGGAGGAUCCGAGCGUUAUCCGGAUUUAUUGGGUUUAAAGGGAGCGUAGAUGGAUGUUUAAGUCAGUUGUGAAAGUUUGCGGCUCAACCGUAAAAUUGCAGUUGAUACUGGAUAUCUUGAGUGCAGUUGAGGCAGGCGGAAUUCGUGGUGUAGCGGUGAAAUGCUUAGAUAUCACGAAGAACUCCGAUUGCGAAGGCAGCCUGCUAAGCUGCAACUGACAUUGAGGCUCGAAAGUGUGGGUAUCAAACAGGAUUAGAUACCCUGGUAGUCCACACGGUAAACGAUGAAUACUCGCUGUUUGCGAUAUACAGCAAGCGGCCAAGCGAAAGCGUUAAGUAUUCCACCUGGGGAGUACGCCGGCAACGGUGAAACUCAAAGGAAUUGACGGGGGCCCGCACAAGCGGAGGAACAUGUGGUUUAAUUCGAUGAUACGCGAGGAACCUUACCCGGGCUUAAAUUGCAGAUGAAUUACGGUGAAAGCCGUAAGCCGCAAGGCAUCUGUGAAGGUGCUGCAUGGUUGUCGUCAGCUCGUGCCGUGAGGUGUCGGCUUAAGUGCCAUAACGAGCGCAACCCUUGUUGUCAGUUACUAACAGGUUCUGCUGAGGACUCUGACAAGACUGCCAUCGUAAGAUGUGAGGAAGGUGGGGAUGACGUCAAAUCAGCACGGCCCUUACGUCCGGGGCUACACACGUGUUACAAUGGGGGGUACAGAGGGCCGCUACCACGCGAGUGGAUGCCAAUCCCCAAAACCUCUCUCAGUUCGGACUGGAGUCUGCAACCCGACUCCACGAAGCUGGAUUCGCUAGUAAUCGCGCAUCAGCCACGGCGCGGUGAAUACGUUCCCGGGCCUUGUACACACCGCCCGUCAAGCCAUGGGAGCCGGGGGUACCUGAAGUGCGUAACCGCGAGGAGCGCCCUAGGGUAAAACUGGUGACUGGGGCU
rnacentral:rRNA from 1 species